CCUCUCUCUCCCCUCUCUCUCUCGUCGUCGCCGAUCCACCGCCCUGCCAGCGUCGCCGCUCCGGCGGCGCCCGUCUCUCCCUCUCUUGUUUCCCUUCUCUUCCUAUUCUCUCUCUUUUCUCUUCUCUCAGCCUCACGCCGCCGCCAUCCCCCUCCGUCUUCCUCCCGAUCCGCCGCCGCUUCUUCUCCACGUCUCGCGCUGCCGGAGCAGGUUCCCCGAAGCCACCACAAUCGCCGCCUCCUCGCCGGACUCCCGAAAGGUUGUGAAAUUAGUGACGUAUCGGGGUGGGGGCUGUCCUUGGUUGUCUCCGGGCUGCCGAAGAGCCAUAGCCGGAAAUCCGGCAAAUUCUUAUUCUAGAGAUAAGUUUUUUUUUCAUUCUCUGUAGUUAAUUUAGGUGGUGGGAUUUUAGUUGUUGUAUUUACUGAAUUUGACGAACUUGGAUAUUAGGGAUCAUGUCUACUUAUUGCUUGGUAUUGUUGGUGUCACUUAGGCAGAUUCUAGAUUUAAAAUGUAUGCAUGAUUCGUGUAUAAAGAGAAGGGGCUCUUGGAGUUUACCUUUUGAUGUGAAAAAGUGUUGGUGGAUUGAGGACUUGAUCCUACAAUUACCUGCAACUCUCCCUCCUCUGUUCUAUGUGAAUUUUUUUUUUAAAGUUUGAUUAUGAUGUGGUUAGGUGAAAAUGAUUGUAUGUAUAUAUACAUUAUAAAAUUGGCAAGUGGCGUAGAGAUGCAAGUGGCAUAGAGAUGCAUUAUUCUUGUCAGAGAAUAAUCAUUUCUUCUGGUAUGCAAUUUAAUGUAGGCAUUAAAUGCUACGACUUCACUUUUCCUUGCAUUAAAUGUUACGGAUUCACUUAUCCUUUCAGUAUUUGCUCAUAUCUCUUUUUUAUUUAAUUAUUUAAGUAAUUAUUUGAGUAUUUAUUUAAUUAUUUAUUUAAUUGGUGUAGGUAUAAUCGGUUCAAGUUCGUGGCCGUCCGCGUUAAAGUACCUGAUUUUCUUAGAACGUAGGAUGUAUUAAAUUUUGUUGGAUGUAUCGGACAUCAAGAUUUUGGUUUUGAGAUCUUAUUUAUUUAUUUAUUUAUUUAAAUUUAUUGUA